GACGCUUUCUCUGGCGGAUUGUGCGUUGCGGAUGAAGGGUGGAGGUGAACUAAAGGGUGGAGGUGAACUAAAGGGUGGGGUCGCUUCUCUCGGAGGGUAAAUGGAGGCGAGCUGGGUGGAACCAGCUGGACUAGUUGGUUCAGAUCAGAUACGAGA